AUUUGUUAAAUGAUAUUUAUUUAUUUUUAUUUUAAAAAUGUGAUUAUGUGAGAUUUGGUUGAAUGCACUAAGAUGCAUGGUAGAUAGUGAUGUACCCUAGUGAUUUAGUGUGUGCUAGUGCAUGGUAGCAUGAUGCACAUGUGUAGAAUUUCCUACACAUUAUAUAGUUUCCAUAUAUUAGAUUUAAUUGAUUUAUUAAAAAAUAAAUAAAUAAAAAGGAAAUGGGAAACCAUGUGUUGGACGUGUGGGUGUAGUGGGAAAGGAAGUCAAAUUUUUCCAUUUAUUUUCUAAGGCAAAUAAAGUCAAAAUUUGAAGAAGAUAGCCAUUUUGGGAAAGGAAUGUGAUCACCCUUUUAUCUCCAAUCAAUUGUGAUAAAAGAAAAUAAUAAGAACUUAAGAGAAAAUAAAAAGAGAAAGGAAACUUACCAUUUUAUUUGAUUAGGCUUUAUUGAGAGAAUUAAGAUAAAGGGGGAAGGAAAAUUUGGGAAGGGUCAUUUUUGCUCUUGGCCGUGUGUUGAAGAGAGGAAGAGAGAGAGAGGAUGGCGAGCUAGAGAGAGAAAGGGGAAGGGGCUGCCAUUUUCUAGAGAGAAGGUGGAGGAGAAAGGAAGAAGAAGAAGGAGGUCCUAGGGUAUUCAAAUGUAAUUAUCACUUGGGUGUUGAUCAAGUUGUGUUCUUGAUUUUACAAUCAAGAGAGGCUCUUUGAGAAGAUGUGGUUUUACUUAGCUUGGACCUAAGGUAGCAAAUAGGUUUCUCUAUGGCACGCGUGGUGAUGUGGGGAGUUAUGUCGUCCUGCUGUGUAUGGCGUGGGGCAUCCUAUGGAUGAAAAACAAUCAAUUCUAAACGCCAUUUUCUUUUAAUGAUGUUACGUUUAAUGAGACUUUUCAAACUUGUCAAUGAGACUUAAACUUUUGUUUGUUUUAGAACUUUGCAUAAAACUGAUAUUUUCUUUUAAAACUUUUGGGCCCAAUUUGCAUGUUUUAAGCGAGACCCCAUUGAAACCUUUAUAAUAUGUUGCUUUCUAUUAUAAACCAUUGAAAAUGUGAAUGUUUUAUUAAGUACUA